rnacentral:rRNA from 1 species
CCUACGGGUGGCAGCAGUGAGGAAUAUUGGUCAAUGGGCGCGAGCCUGAACCAGCCAAGUCGCGUGAGGGAUGACGGCCCUACGGGUUGUAAACCUCUUUUGCCGGGGAGCAACGGGCGCCACGUGUGGCGCCACUGAGAGUACCCGGAGAAAAAGCAUCGGCAAACCCCGUGCCAGCAGCCGCGGUAAUACGGGGGAUGCGAGGGUUCUCCGGUUUUUUUGGGUUUAAGGGGUGCGUAGGGGGAUGGUAAAGUCAGUGGGCAAAUUGCGGGGCUAAACCCCUUCCCGCCAUUGAAACUGGCGCUCUUGAGUGGAAGAGAGGUAUGCGGAAUGCGUGGUGUAGCGGUGAAAUGCAUAGAUAUCACGCAGAACCCCGAUUGCGAAGGCAGCAUGCCGGCUUCCGACUGACGCUGAAGCACGAAAGCGUGGGGAUCGAACAGGAUUAGAUACCCUUGUAGUC